rnacentral:misc_RNA from 1 species
AACGCACAUUGCGCCCUGUGGUAUUCCACAGGGCAUGCCUGUUUGAGCGUCAUUUCCCUCUUAAACUGCAAGGUUUAGUGUUGGGCCAGGCUGCGGCCGGCCUGAAAUAGCGAGGGGUGUGUAUAUAUAUCUCUGAGAUAAUGUCUAGGUUCUGCCAACUCAUUACGAAGAGAGACAAUACGUCUGAGCACCUUUUACUAAAUUACCAAAAUUGACCUCAAAUCAGGUAGGACUACCCGCUGAACUUAA